rnacentral:rRNA from 1 species
CGUAGGGCGCGAGCGUUGUCCGGAUUUAUUGGGCGUAAAGAGCUCGUAGGCGGCUUGUCGCGUCGACUGUGAAAACCCGCGGCUCAACUGCGGGCCUGCAGCCGAUACGGGCAGGCUAGAGUUCGGUAGGGGAGACUGGAAUUCCUGGUGUAGCGGUGAAAUGCGCAGAUAUCAGGAGGAACACCGGUGGCGAAGGCGGGUCUCUGGGCCGAUACUGACGCUGAGGAGCGAAAGCGUGGGGAGCGAACAGGAUUAGAUACCCUGGUAGUCCACGCUGUAAACGUUGGGCGCUAGGUGUGGGGGACCUCUCCGGUUCUCUGUGCCGCAGCUAACGCAUUAAGCGCCCCGCCUGGGGAGUACGGCCGCAAGGCUA